GGCGGUGUAGCUCAGACGGUUAGAGCAUACGGCUCAUAUCCGUAGUNNUUCGAUUCCCUGCACCGCCACCA
rnacentral:tRNA from 1 species